CAAAAUAGAAUCAAAGAAUAUUUGGAAGGAAACUAAAUCAUCAAAUUUAGAAUUAUGACUUCAACAUCAUCCACCAUAACUGCUAGAUAUCCCAAUGAGUACUAUCAUCAACAGUGGAAUUAACAAGAUAUGUAGCCUCACCCAAUUCAAUUCUUAAUCUCCCAACCCAUUAGAUUGCUGGAACAUAUAAUUUGGAAAAUGGUGUGAAUUUUGGUGAUGGUUUUGUGGAGGUAUCAGCUGCCACCCAAAGGCAAGGCAAAUCAAGGAAGAAUUGGUUUCAGGGUACAAAGAUGUUGUAACACAGUUCAUCUGGUUGUUUGAGAUCAGAAAAAAUUCCAGAAGAAGAAUAGGUUGGCGUUAACGCCAACCCCUCGGACCCCAGUGAAUUUAUUUAUUUUUUUCUGUUUUUUUCUAUUAUACUCAAUUCUUUUAUUUUUUAUGUUUGCAUAUUCCAAUCUGAUGCUCAUAUAUGUAUUAUUUUUUUUGUCUUGAUAGAGAGUUAUAUAAAAAAUUAUAAAAUUAUCAUUA